rnacentral:rRNA from 1 species
UGAUAAGAGACAGCAGCAGCCGCGGUAAUACGAAGGGUGCAAGCGUUAAUCGGAAUUACUGGGCGUAAAGGGUGCGUAGGCGGUUGUUUAAGUCUGUUGUGAAAUCCCCGGGCUCAACCUGGGAAUGGCAAUGGAAACUGGACGGCUAGAGUGUGUCAGAGGAUGGUGGAAUUCCCGGUGUAGCGGUGAAAUGCGUAGAGAUCGGGAGGAACAUCAGUGGCGAAGGCGGCCAUCUGGGACAACACUGACGCUGAAGCACGAAAGCGUGGGGAGCAAACAGGAUUAGAUACCCGAGUAGUCCCUGUCUCUUAUAC